rnacentral:piRNA from 1 species
CUAUACAGUCGGAUAGGGAAAAA